CAGUUAUCAUUAAUUGGUGGUAAAAAUCUAGUUGAUACAAUUAAAAAUAUUUUGCUCUUAAGCUGCUUUUAAGUCAAAUAAAAACUUAAC